GAUGAACGCUAGCGGGAGGCCUAACACAUGCAAGCCGAGCGGUAUUGUUUCUUCGGAAAUGAGAGAGCGGCGUACGGGUGCGUAACACGUGUGCAACCUGCCUUUAUCUGGGGGAUAGCCUUUCGAAAGGGAGAUUAAUACUCCAUAAUAUAUUGAACGGCAUCGUUUAAUAUUGAAAGCUCCGGAGGAUAGAGAUGGGCACGCGCAAGAUUAGCUAGUUGGUGAGGUAACGGCUCACCAAGGCGAUGAUCUUUAGGGGGCCUGAGAGGGGGAUCCCCCACACUGGUACUGAGACCCGGACCAGACUCCUACGGGAGGCAGCAGUGAGGAAUAUUGGUCAAUGGGUGCAAGCCUGAACCAGCCAUCCCGCGUGAAGGACGACUGCCCUAUGGGUUGUAAACUUCUUUUGUAUAGGGAUAAACCUACCCUCGUGAGGGUAGCUGAAGGUACUAUACGAAUAAGCACCGGCUAACUCCGUGCCAGCCGCCGCAGUAA
rnacentral:rRNA from 1 species